rnacentral:rRNA from 1 species
UACAGAGGGUGCAAACGUUGCUCGGAAUUAUUGGGCGUAAAGCGCGCGUAGGCGGUUACUCAAGUCGGAUGUGAAAGCCCUCGGCUUAACUGAGGAAGUGCACCCGAAACUGAGUAGCUAGAGUACUAAAGAGGGUCGCGGAAUUCCCGGUGUAGAGGUGAAAUUCGUAGAUAUCGGGAGGAACACCGGUGGCGAAGGCGGCAUCCUGGACCGGCAUUGACGCUGAGGCGCGAAAGCCAGGGGAGCAAACGGG